rnacentral:rRNA from 1 species
UACGUAGGGUGCAAGCGUUAAUCGGAAUUACUGGGCGUAAAGCGUGCGCAGGCGGUUUUGUAAGUCUGUCGUGAAAGCCCCGGGCUCAACCUGGGAAUUGCGAUGGAGACUGCAAGGCUUGAAUCUGGCAGAGGGGGGUAGAAUUCCACGUGUAGCAGUGAAAUGCGUAGAUAUGUGGAGGAACACCGAUGGCGAAAGGCAGCCCCCCUGGGUCAAAACUGACGCUCAUGCACGAAAGCGUGGGGAGCAAACAGG